AAAAAUAAGAAAUAGGGUGUGGAAGCUUUCAAACUUUCGGCCUUGAUUUAGUGAGUUCAAUUUAGUCAUUUUAUUGUAAUUUUUAUAUUUUUGAGGUCAUGAGAGCUUGAUUUAGCUAGCUCAUGUACCAAUUUGUAAAACUGUUAAAUUUUUUUGAAAGUUUCCAUUGCUGAUUUCUUGAAUAAAUUGGUGUUAAUUUGUUAAAUUUUAAGCUUAGAUGUGAAAAAUGACUAGAUUGUAAUGUUUAGUUAUUAGUUUUUGAACUUAAGGACUAGAGUGUAUAAAUUAUGAACUUGAUUUGAAAUUUCUAUAAUAAUAGAUAUUAGAGGGUCAUAGAAGGAUAUGGUUGAGAUCGAUUUCAAAAUCGAAGCUCAAAAUUGAAAGUUAUGACUAUUUCAAUUUUAAAGACUAAAUUGGAUAAAAAUGCAAAACUUUAGGAUUAUUCAAAAAAUGAAAUUAAACUAGUUCAUGCCUAGUAUGAGAUGAUAUAAAAGUGUUUGAUAUUGAUAAAUUGAAUUGAAUAAUUGUAUAGAUAGGAAAUUGAACCAAAUUGGAGAUAAUCGGGGAAAAGCCAAAAUUAUCGAUUAGUCUUUGCAAAUUCAACUUGUUGGCUAAUUUGACCAGGUAAAUUCAUAUGGUAUGAUUAUGUUUAAAUUUUUGUGUAUUUUAAUUAUGAAUAUGUGUAUGUUUGGUUGAAAUUUGGAUUAUUUGUGAUUUGGUAUAAAAGGUGAGAUUGGGACUAAAUUGUAAAGAAAUGUAUUUAUAUAUAUGUCUGUGUGUUGAAAAUGUUUGGGUGAACUUGGUAAAGGUUUUGUGCACACUUGUAUGAAUUGAUUACCGAUGAUUACCAAAAUCUAACAUUUUUCGCGGACUCGAAGAUACAUGUGACACAAGUUUAGCCUGGAAUGGUAACUUGACAUCGAAAAUUGAACCUUUAAUGACACAUUUGAUUGCUUGGUUAGCUUGGACGAGCAAUUGAUGUAUCGAAGAUACUUGUGACACAAGUUUAGCCUGGACUGGUAACCUGAUGUCAAUUUAAAGGUUUAGCUCAGAUGAGUAACUUGACAUGUGUAUAUAUAUAUUCAGCUCGGGUAAUUGGUAUAAUAGGAUAUUUGUGUAUGAUAUGAAUUUGAUGUUCAAAUAGUUAAAUGUUGAAUUGAUUAUGAAUGUAGUAUUGAAAAGUUGAUUUUAGUGGAUUGAAAUGAUAUAUGUUUGAAUUACCAUUUGAUGUGACUAUAUGUUAAACUCACUUUAUUGAUAUGUGAUACCAUGUUUAGGCAAAUAUUGCCAAUCUAAGUAGCUUAUUUGAUUAGUUGUAAUAUGAGGUAAGUUUUUGUUUAAUGCAUAUGAACUUACUAAGCAUUCAAUAUGCUUACCCCAUUAUUUUUUCCCUUUUCCUAUGGAUUUCAACUUGCGGAACGUGUCUAGCAGAUCGUCCAGAAGCUCGCACUAUCCUGUUUUUAAAUUGGUAGCUUUUCAAUCAUUUUAAGUUCGAUUUUGUAGAAUGUAUAUAGGUGUUUGAAUAAGUUAACUUGAAAUGAUAAAUGUUAGCUUGCAACCUUUAUAAUGCUUGAUUUUGGUAAGGUUAAUGCUUAUAUGAAAUGUUAAGUUUUUGGCAAAGUUAGUGCCUAAUUGAAUGUAUAUGAUUUGGUAAACAUGUUUGAUACAUGUAUGUGAC
rnacentral:lncRNA from 1 species